UGUUGGCGCCUGGCAGUUUCUUGAGAAAAGCGAAAAAAAAAAAUUGAAGAGUUAAGCUAUAUCUGGACUCCCUCCACCAAAAGCUCAGGUUUACAUUUCUUUUCCCCUCUCUCUCUCUCUCUCUCUCUCUCUCUCUGUGACGCUCUCGCUGAUCGGAGAGUCGAGUCUCCGGUGAGCUUCGAUCGUCGUCCGGUUCGGAAAGACACUUCAGACUUUCAGUAAUUUCCAAGCCUCGAUCCAUUCCUCUAUCUUCUCACUCCCUUAAGCAUAACCGUAAUUCUCUCAGCGUCAUCUCCAUAGCUUCGAUCUUUUCACGUUUGCUUCGCCUAUCUUUCAAGUCGGCACCGUCGUCAAAUUAAUUUCAGGGGGUUUGGUUCGCCAUCAGUAGUAGAGCUUCCUCUGUUGUCUUCCGCUCUUCCGCUACCCUCUCGUUAAGCAGAACACAUUGAUUUUGAGAGGGAUUUGAGGAUUGAUUGAAGUUGGAAAGAUUCUACUAGGUAAGGGGUUUUGAUUCAAUCAAUUAAGAGUAUAGUAAUUUGAAUCAUUGAAGUGGUCUGGGAGCAUCACUUUUUGU